GAUGUUAGAAAAUUGUCGAUGUCGUCUUUAAUGUGUCGACAGUUAAGGGAACUCCCGACGCGUAUCAGGUUGUGUCAGGAGUUGUUCUUUAAAAAUUUCUCUUCUGAUCUCUCAUUCACAGAUCUGUGAAUAAAGGAUUCGAAGCCACCACUGUCGCUCCUGGCUGCCACUCGCUUUCUGUGCCUACUAUCCUCUUCACCUGCCCCGUCUCUUUCGAUGCCGGUAUCGGUGUCGUCGCCCCUAUAUAAUCUUCACUUAAACAUUUGGAUUACAUAGGAGUUCAAGUAGAGAUGCAAGGAUGGAGAUGCAAGGAUGAGCAAUUCAAAGAAGUCUUACUUAGGAAUGCAAGUAGAGAUGCAAGGAUGAACAAUUCAAAGAAGUGCUCAACAAUAUUUUGAAGGUUCUUCAACUCUCACCAUGACAAAGAUAUCGUUCAUUUUUGCUCUUUGAGUAAAUAUAUCUACCUUGGCAUUUUCUCUAGAUGUAGUCAUUCACAUAUGGGUCCAACUCUUACCAAGUGCUGUACAUGCUUGUGCUAUUCUUACUCCUAUAUAAGACACUAGCUGUCACUUAAUAUUGCAUGGAAAUUAUUUGCUUGAAACUGCUUUGUCUCAUAGUUGUAUAUUAUGUGUUCUGUAUGAUAUUUUUAUAGGCUUGACAAUUCUUUUUGUUCUAAGAUGUUUUGUAUAUUCCCAAAACCACGACGACUCACUACGACGAUUACCCAACGAUGCCAUGUGUGUAAAAUAUCUAUGUUGUUUCUUCUUAUAUAAUGUAAUGUAUUAAUUUAAAGAA